CAGAAUGGGUACAGAUGGCACCAGCUUUAUUUUCAAAAUUCAUCCCAAAUAUUCUACCCCCUGCUGUGGAAUCUGAGCUACAGGAAUAUGCUGCUCAAGACCAGAAACUUCAAAGAGAGCUUAUGCAGAAUGGAUUUACUAGAGGUGACCAGUCACGCAAGAGAGCUGGAGAAGAGUUAACUUACAAUGGAUCAUCAGCUUGUGCAAGCUCCAGAGGGUACAGAUAGUGAAUAUACUGGAUCAGCUUCUAUUCCUAGCCAGAACAGACACUGGAGGAGCACAGGUGGUAUCCGGAGCCUCCUUUGGCAACUGCUGAUACUUGAGCUCUGACACGAACUAUGCCUCAAAGAAGAGUUUUGGACUUUCUUCUUUCUAUAAUAAAAUGUCAGUUGCUGCUACAAUUGGGAUGACUUUGAAAGACAUGAUUCCUUGGUCUAGCCUAUCAACAGGUUCAUGUUCUGCGAUUUUUGUGAGGAAUGCACCUUGAAAAAUAAUCCUUUCAAAGUGGAAACGGGCAGCCGAAAUCAGCAGCUUCCAAAAGCGUUAGAAUGGAAGAAUCUUUUUUGCACUCUUUUCUUAAUAUUAAGGACAUUCUUAAAACUAGUUAACACGUCAGUGUAUUAGUUUUUAAACUUCAAGGUAUUUUCUGGAGCUUUUACUUUAAUAAUAAGAAUAAAGUUUCAUUAUUUUGCA